UGGUCCACGCCGUAAACGAUGGUCACUAGCUGUUCGGAUUUCGGUCUGAGUGGCUAAGCGAAAGUGAUAAGUGACCCACCUGGGGAGUACGUUCGCAAGAAUGAAACUCAAAGGAAUUGACGGGGGCCCGCACAAGCGGUGGAGCAUGUGGUUUAAUUCGAUGAUACGCGAGGAACCUUACCAGGGCUUAAAUGUAGAUUGCAUUAGUUAGAGAUAGCUAUUUCUUCGGACCAUCUACAAGGUGCUGCAUGGUUGUCGUCAGCUCGUGCCGUGAGGUGUCAGGUUAAGUCCUAUAACGAGCGCAACCCCUGUUGUUAGUUGCCAGCAUGUAAAGGUGGGGAUGACGUCAAAUCAUCACGGCCCUUACGUCCUGGGCCACACACGUGCUACAAUGGUAGGUACAGAGAGCAGCCACUGCGUGAGCAGGAGCGAAUCUAUAAAACCUAUCUCAGUUCGGAUCGGAGUCUGCAACUCGACUCCGUGAAG
rnacentral:rRNA from 1 species